CCGCUAGGAGUAGGGGGAAGGAAACCGGCGGCAAAUCCCCGGGGUUACGAACAGGAACCUCAUAUAAGGCCAAGCCAGUGGAUGAGUGUGCAGGAGAACACGAAAUCCAAUACCUAUCCAGAAACUGGCAGGGUAAAGGAGGAGCCUACAUGGGGAGAAAGACAG
rnacentral:ncRNA from 1 species